rnacentral:rRNA from 1 species
AAUGAACGCUGGCGGCGCGCCUAAUACAUGCAAGUCGAGCGAGAAGACGUAGCAAUACGUUUGUAAAGCGGCGAACGGGUGAGGAAUACAUGGGUAACCUACCCUCGAGUGGGGAAUAACUAGCCGAAAGGUUAGCUAAUACCGCGUACGCUUCUUGGACUUCGGUUCAGGGAGGAAAGCGAUGCCGAGGGUAUCGCGCUCUUGGAUGGGCUCAUGUCCUAUCAGCUUGUUGGGAGGUAACGGCUCACCAAGGCUUCGACGGGUAGCUGGUCUGAGAGGACGAUCAGCCACACUGGCACUGCGACACGGGCCAGACUCCUACGGGAGGCAGCAGUAAGGAAUAUUGCGCAAAUGGGCGAAAGCCUGACGCAGCGACGCCGCGUGGGGGAUGAAGGUCUUCGGAUUGUAAACCCC